UUACAAAUACGAUUGUAAAGAUUCUGUUACAUCCCUGUAAACCUCAUUGGGAGCCCCAAAUGGAAAGCACUGCAGGAAAAUUUAAGGAAAAGACUGCUCAGGAAACCAGAUUUUUGAUGUGUUUUAUUCAACAGAUCUUUUCAUGGAAGUCAUCUGGAAUUUUAUUUCACCUCUGUAGAGUAACAUUUAUACCAACUUGAAGAAGAUGAAGCAAAAGGGAGAGAAAGAACCUGGUCCGAUAUUUAAAACCAGAUGCUCCCCUGCCGCUGGCAACAAACUUCAGGAAAUAUGGGACAAUCCCUGGAAGAGAACAAGAGGUGAUUGAACAUGUAGCCAUGCAGCUAACACACUGAGUGGGCAUUCCAGCAGUCUGGAUAAAAACUAUGUUGUGACUACAUCUAGAAGGGCCUGAGCACUUUUCCAAAUACAAGAGGAAAAAACAAUCAUUACACCCAAGAACUGGAAUAUAAGAAAACAGUUGUGUAUUGAAGGCUAUUUGAGGACAGAGUGAAGAAAAUAAGUGAUGAACUUGAAGACAGAUAUAAUAAAGUUUCUGAAGAUUUCAUCAAAGAUCAGAGCUCUUGUGGGGACAGGGAUCAACUACACAAAUAAUGGAAAUGAUCUUUUCUGGCCUAACAAGACUAUUUUUGAGAAGAGUGUCUUAAAGUGGAUGAACUUGGACAAGGCUGAAAGAGCAGACUGGUUACCUGGAUGAGAAGACUGGAAAGACAGAAACUAAUAAGGAGAAAAGAAGGCAGAGAAACCCACAUAAUCAGACGUGAAAUGAAGACAUUUCAAGUAAGACUGAAACAGUUUUGAAAAUGAAGUUUGUUUGAUUUCUUCUUUUUUCCUAUUCAGAAAAUUUAAAAGGGAAUAUUCAUUUUUCAGGAAAAUGUCAGCCAAAGUUUUAAAUCAACUUUAGUGCUCAGUUAUGCAUAUUAUUCCUGUGAAGUGUGGAUCUUGAACAAAGAUACACAAUAAAUCUAGAAACUCAUAUCA
rnacentral:lncRNA from 1 species